GGUAGCGUGGCCGAGCGGUCCAAGGCGCUGGUUUAAGGCACCAGUCUCUUCGGGGGCAUGGGUUCGAAUCCCAUC
rnacentral:tRNA from 1 species